rnacentral:tRNA from 1 species
GCCUGGGUGGCUCAGUUGGUUGAGCAUCCGACUUUGGCUCAGGUCAUGAUCUCGCAGUUCGUGAGUUCGAGCCUCGCGUCGGGCU